GGCGCCGCAGCGGGCGGCGACGAGCUUGAGGCUGAUCCACGCCAGGAUACACGCCCAGGCGCUCACCCUCGCCGUCCUCGGCGGAGCGGCGGCGUUCGUGCACUACCGCAGCAAGAAGGGCAAGAACCACGCCGCCGACAAGCUGGACCUCGACUUCUACUCGCAGCUGCCGCCGGCCACGGACGCCGACGGCAACGAGAACGAGCGCUGGAGCUGGUAGUCGUCCUUCCGUUGGGAGGAUCGCCGGAGAAGCUGGACCUCAGCAUGACGUGGCGGGUUUGUGCUAAUCCAUCCAGCUAAGACGCCCGUGAUUCCGUUUACUUUACAUUAUCCAUCCAACGUCCGCAUCCACAUCCAUGGGCGGCACAUAGGAAAUAAAGGAAGAAUCCAUGGUUUGGUUUCCUG
rnacentral:lncRNA from 1 species